GAGCAAUGUCUUAGCACCUGCUGAAUUUAAGCAUAUCAGUAAGCAGAGGAACUGCAACAAACUUGGAUUUUGCAAGUAAUUGCGAAUGAUUGCAAAUUGUGUUUACCAUUCUAAU
rnacentral:rRNA from 1 species